UUGGGACUGUGAAUGGUUGGGACAUGAACGGAGCAUGCAUGAUGAUAAUAUACAAGUACCUUGGUUGCUCCCAAUCACGUCGGGGUCAAUAGGAUAAAACAAUAGGAUACAAUCGUGAUACCUGACCUGACCGAUCAUGGAUGUUAGCGAUGGGCGACAGUCGGCGACGGAGACUUAAGUUACUAAUAUUUUGUGAUGAUGUUCUAAAUGAGAUUAGCGGCAUGCUCCAGGUGGUUGGUGCUCUCGGCUGCAAGAAGAAGCCGCGCUGUCGUCCGCCGCGCUGCCCGGGGGGCUGCAAGCCGCGGUACUGGUGACGCGCGCCCCGCACUCGGGGCUGCUGCUUGAGCAGGGGAGAAUAUAAAUUGGAUUAUGUGGCGGUUCUCCGAGCUGGUGCGCGCGCUGUGCGUGCUGCUGCUGCUGGCGGCGCGCGCGCGCGGCUGCAAGAAGAAGACGAUCUGCCGGCCGCCGCCCGGGGGCAAGCCCGGCUGCGGGGGGCGGGGGCGGUGAUGUUUCCCGACAGGCACUCGUGUCCAUCGAGCGCGAGCUUCAGACAUCCGACACGACCUUCAGCAAUAUAUAAUAAUGCUUGCGCCGUUUCAACUGUGUUUGCGCACUUAAAAAUAAAGUGAAAAGUGUACAAAUAAAAUAUGGCAU